GAAUGUAUGAGAAUACUACUUGGAUAACCGUAGUAAUUCUAGAGCUAAUACAUGCAACGACGCCCGACCGUUUCACUACGGAAGGGCUGUAUUUAUUGGAUACCAAAACCAUCCUUCCCUCGGGAAGUUUUGUUUGAUGAUUCACAAUAACUGAUCGGAUCGCCACUGUGGUGGCGACAGGUCAUUCAACAUUCUGCCCUAUCAGCUUUCGAUGGUUGUGUAGUGGACAACCAUGGCCAUAACGGGUAACGGAGAGUCAGGGUUCGAUUCCGGAGAAGGAGCUUGAGAAUUGGCUACUACAUCUAAGGAAGGCGGCAGGCGCGCAAAUUACCCAAUCCCGAUUCGGGGAGGUAGUGACAAAAAAUAACAAUACCGGGCCUUUUUGGGCUUGGUAAUUGGAAUGAGGGAGAGUUAAACGGACCAUCGAGUAUCUAUUGGAGGGCAAGUCUGGUGCCAGCAGCUGCGGUAAUACCAGCUCCAAUAGCGUAUAUUAAAGUUGUUGCAGUUAAAAAGCUCGUAGUUGGACUUGUGUGCGCUGUCCGCGGGUGGCCUGCGCCCAAAAGGGCGUUUCGGUUCGGCCCCGGUGGCGCCUUGAAAUCUGCAGCUGGGGGGACGUUGGCCUUAACUGGUCGGCGACCGCACGCCGGCUGCUCGGUUACUGUGAGAAAAUUAGAGUGUUCAAGGCAGGCAUUGGGUGCAAUUGAAUACAUUAGCACGGAAUAAUAAAAUAUGGCUCCUGCCGUAUUUUGUUGGUUUUGACUGGUGGGAGUAAUGAUUGAUAGGGACGGUUGGGGGUGCUAGUAUUGAGCGGCCAGAGGUGAAAUUCAUGGAUUCGCUCAAGACUAACUUAUGCGAAAGCAUUCACCAAGGACGUCCUCUUUAAUCAAGAACGAAAGUUGGGGGAUCGAAGACGAUCAGGUACCGUCGUAGUCUCAACCAUAAACUAUGUCGACUUGGGAUCGGCGGUAGUUUUUUCAUUAAGACACUGUCGGGACCACGGGAGAAAUCAAAGUGUCUGGACUCUGGGGGAAGUAUGGUCGCAAGGCUGAAACUUGAAGGAAUUGACGGAAGGGCACCACCAGGAGUGGAGCCUGCGGCUUAAUUUGACCCAACACGGGGAAACUUACCAGGUCCAGAGAUGUAGAGGAUUGACAGAUUGAAGCUCUUUCUUGAUCACUUCGGUGGUGGUGCAUGGCCGUUCUUAGUUGGUGGAGUGAUUUGUCUGGUUAAUUCCGUUAACGAACGAGACCUCAGCCUGCUAGUGUAGUCGGCUGGA
rnacentral:rRNA from 1 species